rnacentral:misc_RNA from 1 species
UCAAAACAAUCCAUCGACCAUUCAGAUUCUGAGCCAUGGAAUCGCAAAAAUAUUUUCUUAUUCGAAAUUGACGGGGCUCAGUAAAAGUCUUGGAUUAUAUUCUUAUUUCUUCAAAAGUGAAUGUAAAUCAUUGUUAUAUCAUCGUUACCGUUUUAUGCGGGUGCAAAAUUAUUUAUCAUUUAAAUCGACGCGAAGCAUGAUAGUUAUAGAUGGCGCUUACGGCUCGUAAAGUUGAGCGAAAUUCGCCCGAUCCAGGCCAUAAGUAUGCAGCAUACAUCUGCGUACUUUGUGCGAGCUAUAUAUAGUUCGCGUGCAUGCAGUCAAUCGAAUCAGUACAUUACGGUAAAGAAGUCCGAUGAGUCGGUUGUAUGCAUGCGACGGCGAGAUCCGAAUUGGCACAACAAAGCGUGCACGCUGCUCAGCAAGUCCAUGCUGAGAACGUACAAUACGAUAGGCCGACUAUACAAAUUUCAAUAGCUGCUGCACGUAAGUACGAUUCAAGUAGAGGCUAAUUCGACCAAUCCAGGCGACUUUAUGACAGUUGACGCAAGUAUCGCAAAGCCACUACUAACGAGUGUUUUGUCGAGGUGCACCUGUAACCAUCGCGUAUGUAUGUACACAUAAUAUAGGUACCACUGCAUACAUGUUACUAUAAUUAGUUAUGAGCUCGGCUCUCGAGGAGUCAUAGUCCACGCGCCUGAAUGACAUAAUCCUCGGAGCCCACAUACCCAAGAGCUAGCUGGAAAUAAUAAAGAAGUGUAUGCUUAUAAGAGCUGAGAAGAGCUACGAGCCUUUGCCUAUUACGUUUGACAUGGUAAAACGGAGUUCCGUUUGAAUACGGACGAAAAAAGUGCCAGGAAUUUGCAUAAAAUGACAGAGCAACAAAGAGUCACUUCAGUUAAUAACACCUUAACAAUGAUGGAGGACAACUGACCCGAACGAUUCGUACCCAAGACCCAUUACAUUAGUAAAAAAUCGAUAUCAAUAUAGAUGGUAAAAUUAUCUAAGUGAACAAUUUUCUUGGCUAUACGUGUGUGAAGUAUGAGCCUAGCAUUAUAAAUUGUAACAGCAUUCAUCCUGCCUCACUUGGUGGGUAAAUAACGACAUAAUACAACUACAAGUGUGUAGGCACAUGCAUAAAAAUUGAGCGUUGUGUACGCGAAUAGGCGAGAGACCGAAGUUGCAAUUUAUUGGGCUAUUUAAUAUUUGUGUGCCACCACUUGGUAGAUUAGACUUUCGAGUUAGCAGUUGGAAGCGCAGAAGCAGUAGCAGCAGCAAUUUACUUUCGGAGUUUCAAGCCGAGUCGUCGAAUAACGAGUCACGACUAUACUAACAAUAUAGCUACGAAAGUGUGGAGGCUCACUGGCUCACUGGCGAGUCGUUGCGAAUCGAAACUCUGCGCGUCGGACUCGUCUGCGUCUCGUAUCUGGCCAAUACAUAAUCGCAAUCGCGCAAGUCCCGUCGGAGCAGAGCAGAGAAAGCAACAGCAGUAGCAGCAGACAACUCAUGUGUCAAGCGUCGACAGUUGUUGCUACUGCUGCGUCGUAUAUAAUUCGCAAUAUCAUAUAUGGUUUGUGAAAGACGCAUAUAGACCGCUGGAAACUGCUCGAUCGGGCAGUCUGCGUUGUGCGAUUCCACGCAACGCGCACCUCGCACGUAUAGGCACACAGAGCAGAGCGAUUAAAUUGCAAUAUUGUCUGCGCGCUGCGCUUUUGUGCGUGUGCAGCAACUCUGCUCUAGUCGAGUGUGCCCGAUACACGUUCGUGCACGCGUGCUGAUUUUUCGCCUUCUUUUUUGUCGCCUUGAUCGUGCAUCGUCGCGCACGAUAUAUAGGCCCGCGUGCGAGCGCGUGCAUGUGUGUACGUACGUAUAUACCACUGUGUGUAUAGGUGUAAGCCAGAGAAGCUAGACCAGUCCACGCACGCUUAUCACGAGCUUCUGCACGAGCAGCCUCGAGACUACGAGCGUCCCAUAUCAGUGUGCAUCGACAGCAGCAGCAAAACAAUCGAUCGCAGCCGACGACCAAAACAAAUCUGAGAUCCUUUCGUUUUGGUGUGUGCCUCGAUCGGAGUUGAGUAGUUACUCCUGCUGCGCUCGGCUGGCUCGUUUACUCUCACUCUCCCUUUUGCCCCCCUCUUUCUCUGUUGCGAGGGCCGCUCGGCCGAGACUUUUCGUCCUUAUACGUCGUCGGACGCGCAGCCAAGGCUACGCUGCAGCCAACGAUCUGCCGCGGCUUGCAUCGGGAUUCGAGGGCGCAACUGGGCCUCCCCCUGAGACACCGAGCUGACACCGAGUGCCAGGGUGGCUGGCCCGUAACGUUCAACAGUUCCUGCUCGCCCCGACCAAGAGCACAACAUAGCCGCCACACCUGAUAUUUCUCUACUCUGUGUAAACGGGGUAUGGUACGCGCGACAACAAUUACCUGGGGCAUGGGAGAGCCCGAUAAGCACUGCCACGGCAGACCCGCUACAUCUUCAGCCUCAGCAACGACGCAUUCUUCCACCUCCACGUCCAGCCACAAAGACCUCGAUGAGGAAGUCGCACUUCAUCCGCUCAGUAACCAGGUCGGAGGUCAUACUCGUCUUCUGCUGCUCAACCAGAAUACUAUCUGCAAGCCGUUGAACUGCAGGGAACUCGACUUUUAUAGGAACAUUCCGCAAGAUAUACAAAUGUUUGUCCCUAAAUUUAAAGGAAUUAUGCAGGCGUCCAACAGCGGUGAAGUCAAGUUGGAAAAGCGCUACAGUCCAAACUUCAGAGAUCAAGAAAUAAGACACAGCGGUAAAUCCUCUACAAAACGAAAACGAGACGAUGUUUUGAGAAUGAAAAUUCAUCGGAAAAACAGUUCGAUAGAUGUUUCAAAAUCAUCAAUGCAUUUGGAUUUAACGGCAAAUAAACAAUAUUUCCUAUUACUAGAAAAUAUAACGUCAUGUUAUUCACAACCCUGCAUAUUGGACCUGAAAAUGGGGACGAGGCAGCACGGCGACGAUGCAACAGCCGAAAAACGAAGCAAGCAGAUAGCCAAGUGCGCUGCAAGUACCUCGGCUUCGCUAGGAGUACGUUUGUGUGGAAUGCAGGUUUAUCAAGCAGACACGGAUCACUAUAUAAAACGAGAUAAAUAUUACGGCAGAGAACUAAACGAGGAAGGUUUCAAAGCAGCGCUUUACAGAUUUUUUCACAAUGGCUAUUCUUUGAGAACUUCUAUAAUUGAAAAAGUCAUAACAAAACUAGAACAAUUGCGCCGUGCUAUCGAAAGACAAAGCAGUUACCGGUUUUAUUCCUGCUCUUUAUUAGUGGUGUACGAAGGCUACCAAGUAGACGCGUACACGGAGCAUCACGACACAUCGCUGGGAGUAGCUGAGCCUUUGGUAACGCACUCGGAUCACUGCUGUUACGACGCAGACACCAGCAACAGCUCGGCGGACUACAAUUUGUCCAGCCACGAAGAAGUUAGUCAAGCUACCUUGCACCGGGGCUUCGGUGAGGCAGCAGCCCGUGGUGCUAAAAAUCCCCUUGGAUUUUAUCCUGUUAACGAGGAGACCGUAUUCAUGGACCAUCAUUCUGUGCACGGUAUUAUGUCGGAUCACCUGAGCCACCAUCACACGGAUAACUGGAUGCUUUAUGGCAACAGCAACAGCAGUAGCAGUAGUAGCAGUAGUAGCAGUAACAGUAGUCAUGGCGCAAGUGGCGACGAAUUUUGCUGCGGUGGUUCGCGACACGGGUUGGUCAUCAACUCCGAAGAUACGAGUUCUGAUCUUGAUAUCAGUCGACUAUCUGAACGUACUGGAUUAAAGCAUAAUCAGAAAUUGCAGCUUCAUUGUAGACAUCAUAGGCCCGUUCAAAAAAAUGAGCAUGGCAAUGACGAUGACGAUGAAGAAGAAGAUGAUGAUGAUGACGACGAUGAAGAUGACGUUUGUACCAGUAUUUCAAAACGAUUAAAAGUCAAAGUCACUUCAAGCACAUCUGCUACUGCUAAUAUUGGGCAGAAAAGUACUUUAGACGACUCUCUAGUCGAUGUGCGCAUAAUCGAUUUUGCUCACACGUCUUUUUCGCAUGGUCAUAGUACUUCAGCAGCCAGCUGUUCCAAUGCUACCCUUCAUCAGGGUCCGGAUUGUGGUUUUCUUACUGGGCUUGACAGCCUUAAGCGCCUGUUACUGGAGAUACUCAAUGAAGGCUAAUUUUUUUAUACAUCUCCGGUAAACGCUCACGAUAAUUGUAUUUUUGUGUAUGAGGCUUGUUGGCGAUCAAACUAGUCUCUAAAAGAUUAUAUCGACUCAAGUCGACUCAAAAUUGUUGGGAAUAAUUGAUGGUAGCACAUGUAUAUUGGAUACGAAUACUGAGAGCCGUGAAUGCCGAAGGAAAUAUCUAAAAAUUGAUAAAUUAUAAAUUAUCAGGCUGAAAUUGUCAAAUGGAAAUUUGAUUAGUUUUCUAUAGUUUGAAACUAUGCAAUUUUUCUUUAGCUAAAUUAAUUUAUCAAUCAAAUUUCUCAAUGAGGCCUAUGUAUAUUAAAAUCCUCAAUGUUGUCAACGGCUAGUUUUGAACUAUUAUGUUCAAAAUAAAAACGAAGACUUACUAUUCUAGUAGAUGGGAAAAUGCCGACGAUGCCUUACGCAUGCGUUUGCGACAUUGUCUAACGAUUGAAACAAAAUUAUUAAAUUCUUCAGAGAAAAUCUUUGAAUGGGUAUAUGCAACACAAAAAUAUCCUAAUGCAAAGCUAGAAACAAUGAUGAAAAGGUUCCUGCCAAAAGUAUAUGGUGUUGAAUUACACAUUCACAAUAAUUAAAUAUUGCCAAGUACAUUAUUUCACAAUAAUCAAAUGUUUUCUCCUGCAAUAAAACUGCUGGGAAAAAUUACUCUACUAACAUUCAUAAUAAUUUGGUGCAUAAACCCAAUUACAGGAAAAAGUAGGCAUUCUAGUGUCUAUUGUAAUUUUUAAUUAAAGUAUGAAUGUGUUUGUUAUUGAAUCUGUAAUAAAAGUAAAAGUCCAUAAAAUUAGAUGUGAUGAAAAUACAGUGUUAGUAGCAAAAAAUAGGUAAAAGAUCAACCAUGGUUCUAUUAGCGCACUUUUAUUUUUUAUUGUUGUGACAGUUAUGUUGUCAUGGAAAAUGGAUCAUUCUUUGCUUCGUGAUUAUAGUGAAUUAAGUACCUUAGGAUGUACAUUUAAAUAAGUCUUACAUCGCAUAUGUAUACGCGUGAUGUAAAAUAUUAUUUUUUACUUCCUUUAUUGUAAAUAUUAUUUUCAUUGACUUUUUAGAAAAGUGUCUAUUUCAACCGAAAUUUAAGCCCAAAAAUGUAUAUCUUCGUCGAAAGCUAAAAUAAUCAGCACGAACUUAGUACAAUACGUACUUAGAUCGCCUAAUAACAAUACCUUAAGCACUCGUUAAUUAGCUUUGACCGCUAAUUACACUUCCCUUUGGCUAGGGUGAUUUUACAUGCCUCACCUUCAUUACAGCUUACUGAUAUAAGUCAGCUUUGUUUACGAGAUUCGGCUAUUUUCUAUUACCGAUCGGUGGCGGGUGAGGCUUGGUCUGACGAGAUAAAUCAACGUUGUAAUCUCAAAGUUGCGAGAGAACUUUCCGAGAGGAUCCUCUAUCAUACAUAAGGAUUUGUCUCCUCAGCUCACAGUAAAUCAGUUUUGGUAUGUAAAAUCGCCGAGUCCAAAUAAGCGUCCUUGCGUGUAAUUAUACGUGCCUUGGGGCUUUUUUGUGGUUCGAGUACGUAGUAUACUACUUCGUAAAUCUUACAGCAGAAAGUAAAUAUUUCGUUCGACUUGCGACUAUGAUAGUAUGAAAGAAACUAUUUUUACAACUCAAAAUGUCAGAUUUACGAGAACACAUUUACCUUCAUCAACAUAAAUUAUUAGAAAAAAUAAUAACAAAUGUUAUAAGCUGAUACUUUAAAUAAUUCGAGUAAAAAUCUAUAAUCGGUACUGAAUGUGAUAAAAUAAUAUAAGAUGAAAAUAUUUACAUAAAAUUGCAAUGAUAAUGUUUCGUAGCUCUAGAUUUUGAAUUUAAAAUAUUUUUACGAAACACAGUUAAUGAAUUAAACGUAGAAAAUGUUUCAACAAUCAUUCACGAUCAUUUUUAUAAUUUUAAAACUGAACAAACAGAAUUUGGUGUACAUAUUUAAUUAUAAUCCAGUUCCUGCCGCCAUGAUUUUAAGCAUUUGUAGGUCUAAAACGAUUGUAUUAUCUAGUUCUUCCAAGGAAUUGAACAUAUGUUUAAUAAUUAAAAAACAUAUAUAUAUUAUAUAUAUGAAAGACGAUGUUGCUUUAGUGUAACUUGUAUUUAAACUGAAAAUAGUAGUUGUAAAUAGAUCUAUUAUUCUUAAUAAAGGAUAAAUAUAAAUUAAAAUUCUGGAAUAUUUUAUAUAGAUAAAAAAGCAAAAAUCUGUGUAAAUACCCUUACUCGAGAUACCCUCAAAUCAUUUCUUAUACUCAAAUUAUCAAAUUUUACACUAUCUCGAGAAACAGUUCUUCAACUCAAAAAUUUCAGUGCAUUAUUUAUCAAAACUAUAUAUACAAAUUAAGUUUAUGUUGAACUAUUGGGCUUGGUAGAUGAUUCUGCAUAAAAUUAAUUUUUAAGUCAAAAUGAAACAAUAAAUAUAAACACAUUCACAACACAAACAGUAUGUAUAUAUUGUUAUACUGUAUAAUCAAUUAUAAAAUAGAUUGAAAUAAUAAAAUUGGUUUGUUUACUAAAUUACUAUUGAUUGAUACAUUUUAGUUCACAUAAUUAUUAAUACGAAGAUUUAUCAAAAAGAUGCUGUAGUCAAAGUGAAAACUUUAUAAUGUUAUGUUCUCUGAGACUCGUACUAUACAUUUUUCGUUGACGGCUCCGUGAAAAAUCAUUGAAAAAAGUUAUAAGUAGAACUUUUUUACUAUAAAUUAGUUAUAUAUAAUAGUAUAUAUAUUUAGUAUUUGUAAAUGUACUUUGUGAAAAUACACGUUCGGAAUUCGUUCAACUUUUCUUAUAAUUCGAUUUAAUUUUUUUAUGCAUUCAAAAAUUAGGUUGCGAAAACGCUAAUAGCACUUUUGUUCAGUUUCAAAUGACAUGAAAGGCACUCCUUUGAAAUAAGUAACUUUAAAAACACUAUUAAAAAGAUAUUGCAAGUACUAACUCUUUAUUCUAAACUAAUAGAAUGUAUAAUUUGUGAUGUGCAGUCAAAUAAAUAUUUGUUUUAGAUAAAGCAAAGACUUAUUUAUAAUCACCAUGAGCCAUCAUUACAGGGUUCAAACAUCUAAAUUUGUUUUUGAAAAGUCAAAAAUCGUCGGUUUAAAUGUUUAGAACUAAUUCAUCGCGACACAAAUACACUAUCAAAAUAUGUAUAUACUAAUUUUUAUCAAAAUAUGCAAAAAUAAAUAAUCUUGAGGAUAACAACAA